rnacentral:rRNA from 1 species
UGGGGAAUAUUGGACAAUGGGCGCAAGCCUGAUCCAGCCAUGCCGCGUGGAUGAUGAAGGCCUUAGGGUUGUAAAAUCCUUUCGCCGAGGACGAUAAUGACGGUACUCGGAGAAGAAGCUCCGGCUAACUUCGUGCCAGCAGCCGCGGUAAUACGAAGGGGGCUAGCGUUGUUCGGAUUUACUGGGCGUAAAGCGCGUGUAGGCGGGUCGUUAAGUUGGGGGUGAAAUCCCGAGGCUCAACCUCGGAACUGCCUUCAAAACUGGCGACCUGGACCUAAGUAGAGGCAAGUGGAAUUGCGAGUGUAGAGGUGAAAUUCGUAGAUAUUCGCAGGAACACCAGUGGCGAAGGCGACUUGCUGGACUUAUGGUGACGCUGAGACGCGAAAGCGUGGGGAGCAAACAGGAUUAGAUACCCACGUAGUCCCUGAGCGGGCUGGCAAGGCGCAU